AUUGAACGCUGGCGGCAUGCCUUACACAUGCAGGUCGAACGGUAGCAUGUCCUUCGGGAUGAUGACGAGUGGCGAACGGGUGAGUAAUAUGUAGGAAUAUACCUAUAGGUGGGGGAUAACUAUUCGAAAGAGUAGCUAAUACCGCAGAACAUCAACGGAUUAAAGCAUGGGAUGGGAAGACCUUAUGCCAAUAGAAUAGCCUACAUCCUAUUAGCUAGCUGGUAGAGUAAAAGCCUACCAAGGCAAAGAUCGGUCAAGGGUCCGAGAGGAUGAUCAGUAAAACUAGAACUGAGACACGGGCCAGACUCGUAAGGGAGGCAGCAGUGGGGAAUUUUGGACAAUGGGCGAAAGCCUGAUCCAGCAAUGCCGCGUGGGUGAAGAAGGCCUUCGGGUUGUAAAGCCCUUUCGGAUAGAAAGAAAACUCUUACUCUAACAUAGUGAGAGAAUGACGGUACUAUCAUAAGAAGCACCGGCUAACUACGUGCCAGCCGCCGCCGUAAGAC
rnacentral:rRNA from 1 species